AGUGUGUGAGGAGCGGGGCACUCCCUCGCCCCGGCCGCCAUUUUGUGGCUCUGAGAGCUCUCAGGGGGCUGCCUCAGGGCUUGUUGCUGCUCUGUGCUGGAGCAGUUAUGGAGGAGCUGGGGCAGAACUGAGAAAUCCAGGGCUGAAAAUCCACUUUAUUGCCUCUGAUGACAACAGGUUUCUUACCUGUUUUCUUCUGUCUGCUUGUCCGUUUUCUUCAGGCAGGGUAGGCCCCCAAGGGUGCACCCUCUGAAGACAGCCUGUGGAGAGCUCCAUGCACCCUCGCUUUGGGACAGCCUGAGGAGAGACUCCUGCAAAUAUCACUCCUGAUGUCCCACCAAGCCUGGUGGCAGCUGGGACAGACUGAGGGUUAGUGUGAGGGUCCUGCCUGUGUGGUGUGCAUGCGGCCAUUGAGGUUCCCUGGAGGAGCAGCUCUGCACCUUGGCUCCUGCACUAGCAACAGGUUCUGCCUAGCAUUUUUUAAUACCCUCCAACAGAAGUCAAGCUUGAGCUCAUGACUGGCAGGACUUUGUGAUGCUGUAUUUUGGAAGUACUGAUUAGUAGCAAUUCCUUCUGAUGUCAUUUGUAUGUCGAACUCUUUCCUAUCUUUGUAAGUUGUUCCUGAAAUAAGGCAGAGUGAGCAAGCUAAACUCUUCCUCAGGUGUUAUGCCAUUAAAGCUAGAGCAUCCACUGUGGAUAACUGGAUUAACGCCUGACUAAACUCUUGGCUAAAAAUUGCUCUAUCAGAUGUAAGAAUAACAAAUGUUGUGAUAGGAAAUUAAUGUGAAAAAAAGUUAACUCCCUUUUCAGACUACUUCUUCCUCAUACAUUAGGAAGGGAGUCUUGGUGUGACUGACUAACGUGGGCAGGAGGCUUUCCUACGUGCAUCCAGAUUGCAAAACACCCUCAACUAUGAAAAAGGUCUAAUGGAUGUGGCCUAAAUUUAGGAUAUGGAGGAUUAGUCCCUGUCUUUGCCACAGUUUUUCUGUGACUGUCCAUUUCAUUCAAUCUGCCUUAUUUUUGCAUGCAACAAUCCUACAAUGCAGAGAGGUAAUAGAAUAAAAUCCAUCAGUAGUUGUGAGGCACUCAGCUGCUGUGGUCAGAUAAGUACCACAGUGAAGGAAAUUCCUCUAAGUAUCUAUUAAGGACAGCACUUCACAGGGCUAUUGCCCCUUCUAUCCAAGGUGCAUGAAGCAUUCCAUCAAUGCUACUUGUACUCCUUCAAUACCCACGAGAAGCAACGCAUUAUAAAUCCCAUUUUACAGAUGGGCGAACUGACUUUUCCCCAAGUCCCAGAGUGGUUCAGUGACAGAACUGGGAAUUGAACCAUUAGACAUUUUCCUCUUCAUGACAGCUCUGUACAAUCCCAGGACUCAUUUAUUUUCCCUAUUAAAAAAGAAGUAAACAAGUAUUUUCUUUCUGAGACCCGCUGAGAAUGGGGGAUUGGGGAAAAAAUGGAAGUAAAAUUAAAAAUAAAAUGACAAAAGUCCCCCUUGGCCCUGAGUUGUCCAGUCUCCUUUACAUUCACACUUCUCUUUGUUAUGUUUCCUUGAAGUUGAACCUCCCUAGAGAAGGGAACCUCAGAGUUUCUGGUGCUGGGGAAGAAAUGCUUCAAGAAAAAGAAAAAUAAUCGCAGCUGCAAUGUUAAAAAUAAGAAGCUAAUCAAAGGCAGCCCAUGUGGGCGCCACUUUCAUCUCUCAUCUUCAAAGAGGUGCAAACAAACAUUGUCGGCGUGCCAAGCAGCAGCCUCGGCGGCUGACGAUCCCAUUACUCCUCCAGCGUCCACCCUCCUUUUCCAUGCUGCUGAGCCUGUAGGCAUGGGACUCCAGGAUCACUGCCAAGGUGGGAACCUCUAGUCACCAGAGGGGAAGCCACAUAUGGAAUUCCUCUGUGGAUCCAAAUUAUUUCAUAACAAACAUGCUUGCACCCUAUAGAUCAUUCCUUGUGCUAUUGCCUUUAGAUCCUUUCUGCUAACAAUAACAGCACCUUUCAUUACCCAAGGUGCAGAAGAGCCUCUAGAUCAGAGGUUUUGUCCUGGAUUUUUUUUUCCAAGGAUUUGGUUAUUAAAAAUAAUAGCUAGGCUCUGAUGAAA